rnacentral:tRNA from 1 species
GCCUGAGUAGCUCAGCCUGGAUAGAGCACGUCCCUCCUAAGGACGGGGUCGCAGGUUCAAAUCCUGUCUCGGGCG